UCCUUCAGCCGUGGUUCAUGUUUGCCUUUAGGCGCUGGUUUGACUUGCCUGCCUCUGCGGCCACAAGACAGAUGGCUUGCUGUGCAGAGAGGGGUUCUUGGUUCCUGAGUGAGGAGUUUCUAUAACAUCCAGCUGGAGACUAGAGCUAUUAGAUUUGCUGUAUUCCAGGGAGCAAGGACCAUUUUCCACUUCGAACAUGCUUUGUGCCUCUCACCUACUUCUUGUGAUCUUAUUAUUAUACAGGGGAACCAGUGGAGACUCAGUGACCCAGACUGAAGUCCCAGUCACUCUCUCAGAGCAGGAGCUUUUGAUGCUGAACUGCACUUACCAGACCACUGAUUCAGAUCCCUACCUGUUUUGGUAUGUGCAGUACGUCAACAAAGCUCCUCAACUCCUCCUGAAGGGCUCAACUACAAACCCAAGGCCAGAGCAUCAAGGUUUUCAGGCCACUCUUGAUAAGAGUAGCAGGAACUUCCACCUGCAGAAACCGUCCGUGCAGACGUCAGACUCGGCCGUGUACUACUGUGCUCUGGGAGACACAGUGAGAGGGGCUGCAGGGGGAGCUGAGCACAAACCCAGGUUUGCGCAGCUCAACUCCUGUCUUCACCUGUCGGGACCGUACUUCCUGGGAGCACAGCGCGGGGCACAGCAGUGA